GUGACCCACCAGGUCCCGCUUUAACUUUGUUGAAACCGUUGGAACUUUUAUUGUUUUCUAAAGCCUUUAUCCUCUCUUCCAGUGGCAAUGCAUCCUCUUUGGCAAGUGACUUGCGGUUUCUAAAUGCUUCUGCGUGCCUUUCAUCCUUCACUUCAUACAAUCUGCAGCACGAGAUUUCUUUUCGUCUUUAUCAUCAUCUGAUGCAUCAGAUUCACUUUGAUCCUCAUCUUCUUCCUCCAUAAACGGAUCAAAAUGUUCUUUCACUAACGACUGCUGCACAGGUGCAGCUAAAGGAUGCA
rnacentral:lncRNA from 1 species